rnacentral:lncRNA from 1 species
GGGCUAACCCGGUGUAGGUCGAUCUUUCACGUUUGGAGUGGGAUCCCUCGAAGAACACGAUGAACACAGGGAAGAACGGAGAGAAAUCACAAGGGGAAGCACUCAAGAACAAGUCUAAUCACACAUCCACUAGACAAUCAAACACACAAGGUCACAAGGUACAUGAACAACAAAGGGAAAGAUACAAGGUAAGGUUCAUCUCCAAGAGGAGGUCUUGAUGAUAUCCUAGACGGAUCUUCCCAUGAGGGGGUCUUUGUGAUAUCCUGCAGGAUCUUCUCACAUGGAGGUCUUGAACUCCAUGGGAGUGGUAGUCUCUCUCUCUCUCUCUCUCUCUCUCAAGAGUAGAGGUAGGAGCAAAGAUCACCUAAGAAUGAGCUAUCAUAUUUGCUUCCCCUAGAAUGGAGGAGGGGGAUGAGUAUAUAUAGUAGUAGCCAGGAAGGGGUAAGUGAAGGGCGAAAGGGUACAUGGCCACUGGCCGAGUCUCUGCGCGCACGCAGGGCCAGAAGUUCCAGGGACGGUCGGAAGGUCCGGGCACCGGAGGUUCCGGGCUAUCCAGAGAGUUGGCACACUCUUGGACAACCUCGGUGCGGCAGGGCCAGAAGCUCCGGGAUGGCCGGAGGUUCUGGGGGCUGGAAGUUCUGGGCAGCGGCCGGAAGUUACAGGCUUUCCAGAAACUUGUCCAGGCUUCUUCUUCCUUCUCUUCCACGCUUCCCUCAUGGAUGGUGUAGGUGUUCCUUGGUGCUUGCACUCCACCUCAUCGUCCGUGAAGCUCCGGCAAUACCUAUGCAUGCACAUGAGUGGAGUGUCAAGUAGUAUACCAUCCUCAAAGGGGUCAAGUGAACACGUGUAAAGGAGAAGAUUCACCUUUAUGUAUGUGAAGUAGAGAUCGCACGUGUCACUUGCCAAAUGGACUCUUGACAUGGUGAUGAACGUAGGAUGCUCCGCAUCAUCCCCUGCCCCUUGGAAAAGAUCCGACCUCAGAUCGAAAACCAAAUCAUCAUGGGAAAGAGACGGCGGUGCCGUGUCGAAGUGGUCGAUCACCAAGCACUCAUCGUCUAGUAGCUCGAAGUGGUCACUCGCCAAUGUCACACCAUUUUGUGAUUCCUUCAAAAUGAGCAAAUACAAUAAACACUUGGAAAAACAAAUGUGGUUAGCAUUAGUGCAAAACCAAGCAUUCAAGAGGUGAUUCACCAAACAAGUGUUGUCAUCAAGCAUAGCAUAGGGUGUGACAAAGGAUUGUGACAUGGCAUGUAAGCAUAACAAUUGAGCACAAGCAAAGAUAUCAUGGGGACAAGUAUGAAAAUGUGAGGUAGUGAUGCAAAUAUGUGUGACAAGAGAAUAAGCAAUUGAGCACAAGCAAAGAUAUCAUGGGGACAAGUAUGAAAAUGUGAGGUAGUGAUGCAAAUAUGUGUGACAAGAGAAUAAGCAUCUACCUCAAGUUCAUAGCAAGAAUUCACAAAUGACUUAAUGAAAGGUCUAUGGUAGGCAUAGGAAAGAUUUACAACACCAAAUAAAAUGAAGUGUCUAAACACAUGGGUGAAGUGCAAGACAAUCCAAGCAUAAUGUGCAUGGGGUGUAGUGAAUAUAGUGUGGCACUCAACACAAUAGAAAGAGCAAUUGUUCAUCAUGUGUGAGGCAAUCAAGUGAAUCAUGUGACAAGCAAAGGAACAUGGCAUAUGUGAAGAAAUGAUAUUGGUGCAACCAACCAUAUGAUAGUAGCAAGUAGUCCAAGAAUUGGAUGCAACACACAAGGUAUGUAUAUCAUGAAGCAUGGAAAUGUGGCAAUCAUGUGUGAAAGCAAUAUCAUGAACAUGCGUGCAAAUGGUGCAAGCCACACAUGAAGUAUGAUCCACAAUAUCCCUGCUCAAGAAGGAUGUCACCUUGAAGGUGUGUCCUUAUGCAUUCUUCACAAUGCCGAAACUCAAGCAAGUGCGAUGUACAAUCAUCAUGGUAGAAGGUGGCUCGCUCUCAAGAGCUCGAAUGGUCAACUCACGUGAAGUGCAAGUCGACACGAAGUGCAAGUAUCCUACACAUGCACACAACAAAACAAAGGACAUAUGCGCAUGGUAGAUAAACACAUCAUCCAUCAUGAUGGUUCUCCUCUCUUGCACAUAACCAUUAGAAGCACAAGUGCGUGAAUAAUAUGAUGCAACAAUGGCUAUAUUCAUUGCACUAGGUAUAUUGUGCAAAGAAGUAAGACAAGCAUGCUUCACAAGGAAUAUGUCAAAAUCUUCAAUCAUAUGUGAGAAUGCUAUGGGGGAAAUCUCAUUAUCAAGGAUAAUAGCAUUGUUGCACUCAAUGCAUGGAAAAUCAUCUAGCAUAAGAGAGGCAACAUAUGGAGAUAUGUGACAAGAAGCAAUAAAAAUCAUGUGCAAAGCAUGGAAAUGGUUGUCAUUAACCGCAUGAAGUGAGCAAGUAUGAAUCAUGGGUGAUGCAACAUAAGCAAGCAUAGAGAUCAAGUCGUGUAAACUAGUGGAGCGAAAAUGCAACACACUAGAGUUAAUCAUGGUAAUGAUGUCAUGUGAGCAAAUACUAGGCAUAGACAAUGCACAUGACAUAUCACAAGCACGAACACAAAGCAAGAUCAUAGUAUCAUCGUAGGAAUGGGUCAUAGAUGAAACAUGGCAAUAAUAAGCAAUAUCUCCACCAAGCUUCCAAAUACACAUAAAAGUAUGAGAAUCAAUCAUCAUGUGUAAAUCAAAGCAUGGGUCACAAAUGCAUGUCAAAGGCAUAGGAAAGGUGAUGAGGACAUCAAUACAAUUGUUACACCCACAGCCCCUGCUGCUAUACAUACUGGACCAAUUACUAGAGCUCGUGCACGCCAACUAAAUUACCAGGUACUUUCGUUUCUUGGUAAUGAUUCUAAUGUUCAUGAGAAUAUGAUGCUGCCUAAAUUGGAUACAUUUGUUUUGCUUACAAAUGAAGGGCCUAGCUUGGAGAAGGAUGAACAUUGGAGCAAGAACAAGCAUGGAGAUGAUGGCAUGCGCAAGGGGAACAAGAACGGAGUUACAAGUGAUGAUUUCAGGACUUUGAAGCCACCAUAAUGGGUGCAUGAAGCCUUGGACGAAAUAUACAAGAUGCCACUUCAUAAAUUUCGUCCCGAGGCUAUUUUAGGUGUUGCGUCACCUUAUUAUUGGACCAGGCCCAUGUAAUUUCGAAAUACAUAAGUAUAGGCUAUUUUUAGAGUCCGUAUGUGUGGGGAAACAAGAGAUAGGGUUGAUUUCGGACCCCUCCACCAAGGGCCACGAAAUUCCCCCCUCUUCCUCCAUAUAUACAGCCCUUAGGGCAUCGUUUAGACUUUAGGGUUUUGUUUAGAUUAAAAGUUCGCCAUAGCUGCAACUUCGCGUACUUCGUUUGUGUUCAACGACCAGACAAUGAUGAGGACAUGACUAUCUUGGAUAUGACCAAAAAUAUUGCAUAUAUGCAUAUUUGUCAGGUGAUUUCUAGUGCAAACUAUUCAAUAAUCUAUUUAUGUUAUCCAGAACAAAAAUACUUCACACACUUUUGUGUUUUGUCUAAUUGCAGGUGUAUGGGACAUUUGUACAAUCCACAUAUGAAGAUAAGGAAGAAAGAGAUGUUUAUUUGCUGUCCAAAAAGUUCUCUCACGUCACUUUUGGCCCAAGAGAAGAUAGAGUCCAAGUCUCUCACGUUCUGGAUUCAGAUUCGGACUGCACAGACAUACCUGACUCAAAACGCACACAAGUUUUUCAUACGGACUCCGAAUUGGGUGAUUCUUUUUUUGUUGGAAACUAGAUUUCGUGCACUUUCCAACCCAAUUGGAAUCACCUUCAAAUUUUAUGAGGACAUCAAUACCAUUGUUACACCCACAGGCCCUGCUGCUAUACAUACUGGACCAAUUACUAGAGCUCGCGCACGCCAACUAAAUUACCAGGUACUUUCGUUUCUUGGUAAUGAUUCUAAUGUUCAUGAGAAUAUGAUGCUGCCUAAAUUGGAUACAUUUGUUUUGCUUACAAAUGAAGGGCCUAGCUUGGAGAAGGAUGAACAUUGGAGCAAGAACAAGCAUGGAGAUGAUGGCAUGCGCAAGGGGAACAAGAACGGAGUUACAAGUGAUGAUUUCAGGACUUUGAAGCCACCAUAAUGGGUGCAUGAAGCCUUGGACGAAAUAUACAAGAUGCCACUUCAUAAAUUUCGUCCCGAGGCUAUUUUAGGUGCUGCGUCACCUUAUUAUUGGGCCAGGCCCAUGUAAUUUCGAAAUACAUAAGUAUAGGCUAUUUUUAGAGCCCGUAUGUGUGGGGAAACAAGAGAUAGGGUUGAUUUCGGACCCCUCCACCAAGGGCCACGAAAUUCCCCCCUCUUCCUCCAUAUAUACAGCCCUUAGGGCAUCGUUUAGACUUUGGGUUUUGUUUAGAUUAAAAGUUCGCCAUAGCUGCAACUUCGCGUACUUCGUUUGUGUUCAACGACUAGACAAAGGCGUCACAGAACCCCACCUUGAUCAAUAAAGCUUUCAUCUUAUAUUCGCAAUAUCCAGAUUGCAAUCUUAGUUUCUUGCUUGUUCUUCGUUUGCUCGCAGGAAACAGACCCUCGUGGUCAGGUUGAUCGUGCUCCGGCGUGGUCAAUAACCUCUCAGAGUUGGUUUAGCGAUUGCUAAGGCGCGACGUCCUCGCACGUUCGUAGUCGGAUCGUCAAAGUCGACUUCCACCAAAGCGAAAUCCACCAUCUCAUCGAAAGACGGGACACCUUUGCCUCUAUCAAGUGGUAUCAGAUUUCCAGGUUGCUCGAUGAGAUUUUACAGUUUUUCGUAGUUUAGAUCGAGUCUGUUCUUCAUACCUACAGUCCACGAAAAAGCCACAAAAAAAAAUUAGGGUUAGUUCAUCAUAUCCGAACCAAUCUGAGCCUUUGCAUAAUCUUUUUAGGGUUUUGCUUUGUUGAAUUUGCGGUUGCAUCGUCGGUCUAGUUGCUGGUCUUAGAGUCUAGUCUUUUAGAGUUUCGAGUUCUGGUCAUAAGUUGUCACGCCGCCGCCGCACCAUCAUCAUCGGCCCUGCCAUCUACCACCACCGCUCCGAAUUCGUAUCCAUAUACCACCACCAAUCCGUGCCCAUAUACCACCACCGAUCCAUAUCCAUAUACUACCACCGCUACCACCACCGCUGCCAUAUACCACCACCAUAUAUCCACCACCAAUCCGAGUUCCUUGCUUAUUAGGUUUGUUUUUGGGAUCCAUCUAGAUUCCGAUUCGUGUUUCCUUGCCGGAGUAGGUUUCGAAAAAAAAAAGAGUCGGGUAGCCACGCUCCGUUUAGGCCCAAAAUUUUUCGAAAACGCAUUUUUCGAAAAAAUUUCUGGCUAUCCUAUUUUUAGGUGUUUCUGAGUGUUUUGAGACAGGUGCCAUUAUAGGAAGUUUUUUUGACCCGUUUCCAGUUUUUGGGUCCGGGCAGUCGAAAAAAAAAAUUGGUCGAAAAAUUUCGUGCCCAUCCUGUCAGUUUGAGCUAAGAAGAGUUUUGAGACACUCGCCAUUAUAGUGAUUUUUCGCACAAAAAAAAACCAGCGCAAAAAAAAAUGAGCGCAAAAAAAAGAGCGAAAAAAAAAUCCAGAGUGUGCUUUUCCCUUGUUUACGUGCCGCGCCGUGAUUUUGUUAGUGUUCUAGGCUCGCGUCUCUAGCACAGUCUAGCCUAGGACCAGCACAGUACCGUCGUUGAGCGUUUAUUCAACUUUGCAUCUCUGAAUUGAUUAUUGCUGACCCUUUUUGCUACCAUAUUAUAAGCCUUCCCAGCUCCACAUACAUCUACGUCGUGCGUUUGACUCUCCCUGGUAAUCGCUCUAUCCAAGCUUUGAGAGUUUUUGACUCCAACGGUUGCCGAUCACCGCCUGCUGCUGGUUAAGAACUGGUAAGAAUUUGAGAUUUGCUUGACGGAUUUGUGACACCCACCACCACCACUUGUUUGUAGUCUGUAGGAUCAUAUUCUUGUGUGUUUCUUUUGCUGCUAACCAUGCCAGGAUCGAAAGCCGACGAGAUUGACUGGGAGAAUUUAUCGAACAAGGAGCUUCAUGAUAAGUUUCAGCAAAUGAUGACUGAACAGGUGCAAGAUGUGCUGAACAAUUUUGAAGAGGCCAUGGAGAAGAUCACUGGCCUUGAGAAGACGUUCAAAACAAAGCUCGAUAACAAGUUUAAUGAAUUGCUCGCGCGUCUUCCACCACCACCACCCGCUGCACCUAACGCACCUCUCCAACAACAACAACAACAACGACUACCUCCACGUCGCAAAGCAGACCUCCGCCGAGCAAGCCGUGUUCCUCUUGCGUUUGGCAAACUGUUGGUGCUGCUGUUGAUACUUCUGUGGCUCCUGCUGCUGAUGCGGAGGAGGAUGAUUAUGUGGGAGAUUAUGAGGAUGAGGUUGAUCAAAAUCAACACUACGUGCAGCCACCUGUACCACCACCAGCAGGUCGACCUCAGGUAUAUAUUCGUAAUGGUAGGCCUGCACCACCACCUCAGGUACGAGAUGAUGUCCAUAUUCCUAAACUGAAAUUGAAUAUUCCACCAUUUGAGGGUAGAUAUGUUCCUGAUAUAUAUCUUACUUGGGAGUUAGAAACUGAACAACGAUUUACAUGUUUACAAUAUCCUGAGGAGAGACGAGUUGCUGCUGCCGUUUGUGCUUUCACUAGUUUUGCAUGUGUAUGGUGGUCUGAACAUUGUAGAUUAUAUCCUAUUCCAACUACUUGGGCUGCUUUGAAAACUGCUGUGCGUACGCGUUGGGUCCCACCAUAUUAUCAACGUGAAUUGCUUCAAAAAUUGCAGCGUUUAAGACAAGGGAAAAAUUCUGUAGAAGAAUAUUAUCAGGAAUUACAAACUGGCAUGAUUAGAUGUGGUAUUGUUGAGGAGAAUGAAGCUAUGCUUGCACGUUUUCUGGGUGGAUUAAAUAGAGAGAUUCAGACCAUUCUAGACUAUAAGGAGUAUACUAAUAUCACUCGUUUAUUCCAUCUUGCUUGUAAAGCUGAACGUGAAGUGCAGGAUCGACAAGCAUUGGGGCGAACUAACUUUUCUGUAGGCCGACCUUCAUCAUGGACACCACGUGCAUCUUCUACUUCAACUGCACCAGCACCUCCAUCCGGUGCCACCUCCAGCUGUGAUACAAGAAAACAGGCACAACCACCAUUAUCUGCCAAGAGCGCACCUGCGGGGCCUGCACAGCGUUCUUCUUCUUCCAUGGCAUCAACAGGGCACACAAGUGAUAUUAUUUGUCGUCGUUGUAAGGGAGGAGGUCAUUAUGCGAGAGAAUGCAAAUCUCCGCGUGUGAUGAUUGCUACCGCGGAUGGUGGAUAUGAGUCCGCUAGUGACUAUGAUGAGGAGGCUUUGGCUCUUAUUACACGUGAAGAACAUGGUGGAGAUGAUUCUGAUCAUGAGACGCAAUACAUGGCUCCUGAAGACGCUGACAGGUAUGAAUGUUUAGUUGCUCAACGUGUUUUGAGUGUGCAGGUCACACAAGCUGAGCAAAAUCAGAGGCACAAUUUGUUCCAUACCAAGGGAGUUGUGAAGGAACGUUCUGUGCGCGUCAUCAUAGACGGAGGGAGCUGCAACAACUUGGUUAGCAUGGAGAUGGUGGAGAAGCUUUCUCUCACCACAAGACCACAUCCACAUCCUUACUACAUCCAAUGGUUCAACAACAGCGGCAAGGUUAAGGUAACACGUACUGUUCGUGUGCAUUUUAGUAUCUCUACAUAUGCUGAUUAUGUUGAUUGUGAUGUGGUACCUAUGCAAGCAUGUUCCUUAUUACUUGGUAGACCAUGGCAAUUUGAUAAAAAUUCUGUACACCAUGGUAGAAACAAUCACUAUACUCUUGUUCAUAAGGAUAAAAAUAUUACUUUGCUUCCUAUGACUCCUGAUUCCAUUUUGAAAGAUGAUAUUAAUAGAGCUAAUAAAGCACAACCGGAGAAGAAUAAGAGUGAAAAUCAGAUUGUGGCAAAAGAAUUUGAGCAACAAAUGAAGCCUAAUAAUAAACCAUCUAGUGUUGCUUCUGAAAUUAAAUUGAAAAGUGCAUGUUUAUUUGCCACCAAAUCUGAUAUUGAUGAGCUAGAUUUCAGCAAAUCUGUUUGCUAUGCUUUUGUGUGCAAAGAGGCAUUAUUUUCAUUCGAGGACGUGCCUUCCUCUUUGCCUCCUGCUGUCACUAACAUUUUGCAGGAGUUCGCUGACGUUUUUCCACAAGACGUGCCACCGGGAUUACCGCCUAUUCGAGGGAUUGAGCAUCAGAUUGACUUAAUUCCCGGUGCUUCACUGCCAAACCGUGCACCAUACCGUACCAAUCCAAAGGAGACGAAGGAGAUUAUGCGUCAAGUACAAGAGCUUCUCGAUAAAGGUUAUAUACGCGAAUCCCUUAGUCCUUGUGCUGUUCCUAUUAUUCUAGUGCCGAAAAAGGAUGGUACAUCACGUAUGUGUGUUGAUUGUAGAGGCAUUAAUAAUAUUACUAUUCGUUAUCGUCAUCCUAUUCCUAGGCUAGAUGAUAUGCUUGAUGAAUUGAGUGGCUCUACAAUAUUCUCCAAAGUUGAUUUGCGUAGUGGCUACCAUCAAAUUCGUAUGAAAUUGGGAGAUGAAUGGAAAACAGCAUUUAAAACUAAGUUUGGAUUAUAUGAGUGGUUAGUCAUGCCUUUUGGGUUAACUAAUGCACCUAGUACUUUCAUGAGAUUAAUGAACGAAGUUUUAUGUGCUUUCAUUGGACAAUUUGUGGUAGUUUACUUUGAUGACAUAUUGAUUUAUAGCAGAUCUUUGGAAGAACAUUUGGAACAUUUACAUGCCGUUUUUAUUGCUCUACGUGAUGCACGUUUGUUUGGUAACCUUGGGAAGUGCACCUUUUGCACCGACCGAGUAUCUUUUCUUGGCUAUGUUGUUACUCCACAGGGAAUUGAAGUUGAUAAAGCCAAGAUUGAAGCUAUUGAGAGUUGGCCGCAGCCCAAAACGGUCACACAAGUGAGGAGUUUUCUUGGCCUCGCUGGAUUCUAUAGGCGUUUUGUGAGAGAUUUCAGCACCAUUGCUGCACCUCUCAAUGAGCUUACAAAGAAAGAUGUGCCUUUUCUUUGGGGUACCGCACAGGAAGAAGCCUUCACGGUAUUGAAAGAUAAGUUGACACAUGCUCCUUUACUCCAACUUCCUGACUUUAAUAAGACUUUUGAGCUUGAAUGUGAUGCUAGUGGAAUUGGAUUAGGAGGUGUGUUAUUACAAGAUGGCAAACCUGUUGCAUACUUUUCUGAAAAAUUGAGUGGGCCUAGUCUGAAUUAUUCUACUUAUGAUAAAGAAUUAUAUGCUCUUGUUCGGACUUUAGAAACAUGGCAACAUUAUUUAUGGCCCAAAGAAUUUGUUAUACAUUCUGAUCAUGAAUCUUUGAAACAUAUUAAAAGUCAAGCUAAACUGAAUCAUAGACAUGCUAAAUGGGUUGAAUUCAUUGAGACUUUCCCUUAUGUCAUUAAACACAAGAAGGGAAAAGAAAAUGUUAUUGCUGAUGCAUUGUCUCGUCGCUAUACUAUGCUUUCACAACUUGACUUCAAAAUAUUUGGUUUAGAGACCAUCAAAGAUCAAUAUGUGCAUGAUGCUGAUUUUAAAGAUGUAAUGCAUAAUUGUAAAGAAGGAAGAAUGUGGAACAAGUUUGUUGUUAACGAUGGAUUUGUGUUUCGUGCUAACAAGCUAUGCAUUCCAGCUAGCUCCGUUCGUCUUUUGUUGUUGCAGGAGGCGCAUGGAGGAGGAUUAAUGGGACACUUUGGCGUGAAGAAGACGGAGGACGUACUUGCUACACAUUUCUUUUGGCAAAGAUGAGACGGGAUGUUGAGCGUUUUAUUGCUCGCUGCACUACAUGUCAAAAAGCUAAGUCACGACUCAAUCCUCAUGGUUUAUAUAUGCCUUUGCCUGUACCUAGUGUUCCUUGGGAGGAUAUAUCUAUGGACUUUGUUUUAGGUUUACCUCGAACAAAGAAGGGGAGGGAUAGCAUAUUUGUUGUCGUGGAUAGAUUCUCGAAAAUGGCACACUUUAUACCAUGUCAUAAAAGCGAUGAUGCUGUUAAUGUUGCUGAUUUGUUCUUUCGUGAAAUUAUUCGUUUGCAUGGUGUGCCAAAUACUAUUGUUUCAGAUCGUGAUACUAAAUUUCUUAGCCACUUUUGGAGAUGUUUAUGGGCUAAGUUGGGGACUAAACUGCUUUUUAGUACUACUUGUCACCCCCAAACUGAUGGACAAACUGAAGUAGUCAAUAGAACGUUGUCUACUAUGCUUAGGGCUGUUUUGAAGAAUAAUAAGAAAAUGUGGGAGGAAUGCUUGCCUCAUAUUGAAUUUGCUUAUAAUCGUUCAUUGCAUUCUACUACUAAGAUGUGCCCUUUUGAAGUUGUGUAUGGUUUCGUACCUCGUGCACCUAUUGAUUUGUUGCCUCUUCCAUCUUCGGAGAAGGUUAAUUUUGAUGCUAAACAACGUGCUGAAUUGAUUUUAAAAAUGCAUGAGUUAACCAAGGAAAACAUUGAGCGCAUGAAUGCUAAAUAUAAACUUGCUGGAGAUAAGGGUAGAAAACAUGUUGUGUUUGCACCUGGAGAUCUUGUUUGGUUACAUUUGCGUAAGGAUAGAUUUCCUGAUUUGCGCAAAUCAAAGUUAAUGCCACGUGCUGAUGGUCCCUUUAAGGUGUUAGAGAAAAUAAAUGAUAAUGCAUAUAAACUUGAGCUGCCUGCAGAUUUUGGGGUUAGUCCCACUUUUAACAUUGCAGAUUUGAAGCCUUAUUUGGGUGAGGAAGAUGAACUUCCGUCGAGGACGACUUCAUUUCAAGAAGGGGAGGAUGAUGAGGACAUCAAUACAAUUGUUACACCCACAGCCCCUGCUGCUAUACAUACUGGACCAAUUACUAGAGCUCGUACACGCCAACUAAAUUACCAGGUACUUUCGUUUCUUGGUAAUGAUUCUAAUGUUCAUGAGAAUAUGAUGCUGCCUAAAUUGGAUACAUUUGUUUUGCUUACAAAUGAAGGGCCUAGCUUGGAGAAGGAUGAACAUUGGAGCAAGAACAAGCAUGGAGAUGAUGGCAUGCGCAAGGGGAACAAGAACGGAGUUACAAGUGAUGAUUUCAGGACUUUGAAGCCACCAUAAUGGGUGCAUGAAGCCUUGGACGAAAUAUACAAGAUGCCACUUCAUAAAUUUCGUCCCGAGGCUAUUUUAGGUGCUGCGUCACCUUAUUAUUGGGCCAAGCCCAUGUAAUUUCGAAAUACAUAAGUAUAGGCUAUUUUUAGAGUCCGUAUGUGUGGGGAAACAAGAGAUAGGGUUGAUUUCGGACCCCUCCACCAAGGGCCACGAAAUUGCCCCCUCUUCCUCCAUAUAUACAGCCCUUAGGGCAUCGUUUAGACUUUGGGUUUUGUUUAGAUUAAAAGUUCGCCAUAGCUGCAACUUCGCGUACUUCGUUUGUGUUCAACGACCAGACAAAGGCGUCACAGAACCCCACCUUGAUCAAUAAAGCUUUCAUCUUAUAUUCGCAAUAUCCAGAUUGCAAUCUUAGUUUCUUGCUUGUUCUUCGUUUGCUCGCAGGAAACAGACCCUCGUGGUCAGGUUGAUCGUGCUCCGGCGUGGUCAAUAACCUCUCGGAGUUGGUUUAGCGAUUGCUAAGGCGCGACGUCCUCGCACGUUCGUAGUCGGAUCGUCAAAGUCGACUUCCACCAAAGCGAUAUCCAUCAUCUCAUCGAAAGACGGGACACCUCCGCCUCUAUCACCUUUACUCCAACUUCCUGAUUUUAACAAGACUUUUGAGCUUGAAUGUGAUGCUAGUGGAAUUGGAUUAGGAGGUGUGUUAUUACAAGAUGGCAAACCUGUUGCAUACUUUUCUGAAAAGUUGAGUGGGCCUAGUCUGAAUUAUUCUACUUAUGAUAAAGAAUUAUAUGCUCUUGUUCGGACUUUAGAAACAUGGCAACAUUAUUUAUGGCCCAAAGAAUUUGUUAUACAUUCUGAUCAUGAAUCUUUGAAACAUAUUAAAAGUCAAGCUAAACUGAAUCGUAGACAUGCUAAAUGGGUUGAAUUCAUUGAGACUUUCCCUUAUGUCAUUAAACACAAGAAGGGAAAAGAAAAUGUUAUUGCUGAUGCAUUGUCUCGUCGCUAUACUAUGCUUUCACAACUUGACUUCAAAAUAUUUGGUUUAGAGACCAUCAAAGAUCAAUAUGUGCAUGAUGCUGAUUUUAAAGAUGUAAUGCAUAAUUGUAAAGAAGGAAGAAUGUGGAACAAGUUUGUUGUUAACGAUGGAUUUGUGUUUCGUGCUAACAAGCUAUGCAUUCCAGCUAGCUCUGUUCGUCUUUUGUUGUUGCAGGAGGCGCAUGGAGGAGGAUUAAUGGGACACUUUGGCAUGAAGAAGACGGAGGACGUACUUGCUACACAUUUCUUUUGGCCAAAGAUGAGACGGGAUGUUGAGCGUUUUAUUGCUCGCUGCACUACAUGUCAAAAAGCUAAGUCACGACUCAAUCCUCAUGGUUUAUAUAUGCCUUUGCGUGUACCUAGUGUUCCUUGGGAGGAUAUAUCUAUGGACUUUGUUUUAGGUUUACCUCGAACAAAGAAGGGGAGGGAUAGCAUAUUUGUUGUCGUGGAUAGAUUCUCGAAAAUGGCACACUUUAUACCAUGUCAUAAAAGCGAUGAUGUUGUUAAUGUUGCUGAUUUGUUCUUUCGUGAAAUUAUUCGUUUGCAUGGUGUGCCAAAUACUAUUGUUUCAGAUCGUGAUACUAAAUUUCUUAGCCACUUUUGGAGAUGUUUAUGGGCUAAGUUGGGGACUAAACUGCUUUUUAGUACUACUUGUCACCCCCAAACUGAUGGACAAACUGAAGUAGUCAAUAGAACGUUGUCUACUAUGCUUAGGGCUGUUUUGAAGAAUAAUAAGAAAAUGUGGGAGGAAUGCUUGCCUCAUAUUGAAUUUGCUUAUAAUCGUUCAUUGCAUUCUACUACUAAGAUGUGCCCUUUUGAAGUUGUGUAUGGUUUCCUACCUCGUGCACCUAUUGAUUUGUUGCCUCUUCCAUCUUCGGAGAAGGUUAAUUUUGAUGCUAAACAACGUGCUGAAUUGAUUUUAAAAAUGCAUGAGUUAACCAAGGAAAACAUUGAGCGCAUGAAUGCUAAAUAUAAACUUGCUGGAGAUAAGGGUAGAAAACAUGUUGUGUUUGCACCUGGAGAUCUUGUUUGGUUACAUUUGCGUAAGGAUAGAUUUCCUGAUUUGCGCAAAUCAAAGUUAAUGCCACGUGCUGAUGGUCCCUUUAAGGUGUUAGAGAAAAUAAAUGAUAAUGCAUAUAAACUUGAGCUGCCUGCAGAUUUUGGGGUUAGUCCCACUUUUAACAUUGCAGAUUUGAAGCCUUAUUUGGGUGAGGAAGAUGAACUUCCGUCGAGGACGACUUCAUUUCAAGAAGGGGAGGAUGAUGAGGACAUCAAUACAAUUGUUACACCCACAACCCCUGCUGCUAUACAUACUGGACCAAUUACUAGAGCUCGUGCACGCCAACUAAAUUACCAGGUACUUUUGUUUCUUGGUAAUGAUUCUAAUGUUCAUGAGAAUAUGAUGCUGCCUAAAUUGGAUACAUUUGUUUUGCUUACAAAUGAAGGGCCUAGCUUGGAGAAGGAUGAACAUUGGAGCAAGAACAAGCAUGGAGAUGAUGGCAUGCGUAAGGGGAACAAGAACGGAGCUACAAGUGAUGAUUUCAGGACUUUGAAGCCACCAUAAUGGGUGCAUGAAGCCUUGGACGAAAUAUACAAGAUGCCACUUCCUAAAUUUCGUCCCGAGGCUAUUUUAGGUGCUGCGUCACCUUAUUUUUGGGCCAGGCCCAUGUAAUUUCGAAAUACAUAAGUAUAGGCUAUUUUUAGAGUCCGUAUGUGUGGGGAAACAAGAGAUAGGGUUGAUUUCGGACCCCUCCACCAAGGGCCACGAAAUUCCCCCCCUCUUCCUCCAUAUAUACAGCCCUUAGGGCAUCGUUUAGACUUUGGGUUUUCUUUAGAUUAAAAGUUCGCCAUAGCUGCAACUUCGCGUACUUCGUUUGUGUUCAACGACCAGACAAAGGCGUCACAGAACCCCACCUUGAUCAAUAAAGCUUUCAUCUUAUAUUCGCAAUAUCCAGAUUGCAAUCUUAGUUUCUUGCUUGUUCUUCGUUUGCUCGCAGGAAACAGACCCUCGUGGUCAGGUUGAUCGUGCUCCGGCGUGGUCAAUAACCUCUCGGAGUUGGUUUAGCGAUUGCUAAGGCGCGACGUCCUCGCACGUUCGUAGUCGGAUCGUCAAAGUCGACUUCCACCAAAGCGAAAUCCACCAUCUCAUCGAAAGACGGGACACCUUUUCCCCUAUCAUUAUACCAUGUCAUAAAAGCGAUGAUGCUGUUAAUGUUGCUGAUUUGUUCUUUCGUGAAAUUAUUCGCUUGCAUGGUGUGCCAAAUACUAUUGUUUCAGAUCGUGGUACUAAAUUUCUUAGCCACUUUUGGAGAUGUUUAUGGGCUAAGUUGGGGACUAAACUGCUUUUUAGUACUACUUGUCACCCCCAAACUGAUGGACAAACUGAAGUAGUCAAUAGAACGUUGUCUACUAUGCUUAGGGCUGUUUUGAAGAAUAAUAAGAAAAUGUGGGAGGAAUGCUUGCCUCAUAUUGAAUUUGCUUAUAAUCGUUCAUUGCAUUCUACUACUAAGAUGUGCCCUUUUGAAGUUGUGUAUGGUUUCCUACCUCGUGCACCUAUUGAUUUGUUGCCUCUUCCAUCUUCGGAGAAGGUUAAUUUUGAUGCUAAACAACGUGCUGAAUUGAUUUUAAAAAUGCAUGAGUUAACUAAGGAAAACAUUGAGCGCAUGAAUGCUAAAUAUAAACUUGCUGGAGAUAAGGGUAGAAAACAUGUUGUGUUUGAACCUGGAGAUCUUGUUUGGUUACAUUUGCGUAAGGAUAGAUUUCCUGAUUUGCGCAAAUCAAAGUUAAUGCCACGUGCUGAUGGUCCCUUUAAGGUGUUAGAGAAAAUAAAUGAUAAUGCAUAUAAACUUGAGCUGCCUGCAGAUUUUGGGGUUAGUCCCACUUUUAACAUUGCAGAUUUGAAGCCUUAUUUGGGUGAGGAAGAUGAACUUCCGUCGAGGACGACUUCAUUUCAAGAAGGGGAGGAUGAUGAGGACAUCAAUACAAUUGUUACACCCACAGCCCCUGCUGCUAUACAUACUGGACCAAUUACUAGAGCUCGUGCACGCCAACUAAAUUACCAGGUACUUUUGUUUCUUGGUAAUGAUUCUAAUAUUCAUGAGAAUAUGAUGCUGCCUAAAUUGGAUACAUUUGUUUUGCUUACAAAUGAAGGGCCUAGCUUGGAGAAGGAUGAACAUUGGAGCAAGAACAAGCAUGGAGAUGAUGGCAUGCGCAAGGGGAACAAGAACGGAGUUACAAGUGAUGAUUUCAGGACUUUGAAGCCACCAUAAUGGGUGCAUGAAGCCUUGGACGAAAUAUACAAGAUGCCACUUCAUAAAUUUCGUCCCGAGGCUAUUUUAGGUGCUGCGUCACCUUAUUAUUGGGCCAGGCCCAUGUAAUUUCGAAAUACAUAAGUAUAGGCUAUUUUUAGAGCCCGUAUGUGUGGGGAAACAAGAGAUAGGGUUGAUUUCGGACCCCUCCACCAAGGGCCACGAAAUUCCCCCCUCUUCCUCCAUAUAUACAGCCCUUAGGGCAUCGUUUAGACUUUGGGUUUUGUUUAGAUUAAAAGUUUGCCAUAGCUGCAACUUCGCGUACUUCGUUUGUGUUCAACGACCAGACAAAGGCGUCACAGAACCCCACCUUGAUCAAUAAAGCUUUCAUCUUAUAUUCGCAAUAUCCAGAUUGCAAUCUUAGUUUCUUGCUUGUUCUUCGUUUGCUUGCAGGAAACAGACCCUCGUGGUCAGGUUGAUCGUGCUCCGGCGUGGUCAAUAACCUCUCAGAGUUGGUUUAGCGAUUGCUAAGGCGCGACGUCCUCGCACGUUCGUAGUCGGAUCGUCAAAGUCGACUUCCACCAAAGCGAAAUCCACCAUCUCAUCGAAAGACGGGACACCUUUGCCUCUAUCAAAAGGGCAUGUCAUGCAAAGUGAACAUGGCAAGAUGGGCAUAUAAUAUGUAAUGGACAACAACCCAUAGCCAAGUGAGGGCCAUGUAGAAGAAAUGUGCGAAGUCUUUGCACGAAGAGAGCGGUGGGAAAACAAUCCAUGAGAUCCCAAAUCAUCGUUGCUCUCUAGAGCUCGUUUUGUCAACUCGUGGGAUUGCGAGGUCGACAAGUAUUCAUGGGUACCUACAUAAAAGUGACACAAACCAAAUAAAUUGUGCGCGUGGUAAAUGUACACCCCAUCCAUCAUGAUGUGUAUGUGCAUGUGUGAGUUAGCACAAGAUAAACAUCGGUCAAAGAAAUUUGAUGCAUGGUAUAAGAACAUGUCAUCCAUCAUGAAAGAAUAGUUGUUAUGUAUAACACGAUGGGGGUGCAAAUUGAGCAUACAAUUAUAUGGCACAUCAAUAGCAUUUUCAUUCAAGGGAAACAUAUGGUGCACAUAAUUAUUGGGAUCAUGCAAUGAAUGGGAUGGAUCAAAUUCUCCUAACAUGUAUGAGGGAACUAUGGGGGUUUCCUCAUGAGAAAUACUAGAAACAUCAUAUGGAGAAAAUGGACAACAUCCAAAACAGUGCAUAUUCGAAGCUAGGUGGUCAUGGCAUGGCACAUGAGAUAAAUGAUGCAAAUUAAGCAUAUCAAUAUUAGCACAAGAAAACCAAAUGCCAAUAACCAUGGGCUUGUCAUCUAUGCCAUAAGUGCAAAUUAGGUUUAUUUUAAUGGCAUAUGCAUAGUCACUAUUAAGAGAUUGCAAAUAAGACAUAUGGUUGAUCUCAUGCAUAGCAUAUGGCAAGUCAAGCGGAUUAUCAAACAUGAUGUGACCUAAAGAAUUGUCACAAGAAAUCCUAUGUAACAUGGCAUCACUACUAAUAGACUCCACAUGAGAAUCAUCAUAUUCAUCAUAAAUGGGCAAAUCAUCACAUGGGGAAAUCAUCCUAGCAUGAAACAAGGUACUAGGUGGAUCAACAUCAUGCAAGCAAUCAAUGUCAAGAAUGUCCACUAGUGGUACUAGAGCAUCACUAUCACCUAUGUUACCUUCGUCAUUGCACUCAGGUGGUGUAGGUGAGGUGGGAAAGAUCAAAUAGUGGUCAUCUUCAUCUUGAUGGAACCAUGUGGGGGGUGCAUCAUAUUCCACCUAGCCAUCAUCUUGUCCCAAGGGAGGACGAAGUCGUCGAGGAUCGGCGCGUCAUCAUAAAUGGAACCUAGAACCAAAUGAGAAGACAAAAUAGAGGUAGAGGUCAAGUUGUUAGAAAUGCAAAUGGCCUCAUAAGACCUAUCAACUAUCUCACUCUCUCUAUGUGGUGGUUCACUCACUCCCUCAAAGUAUGUGCACUCAAAGUCACAUAUGGUGGAGUCACUCAUCUCACUCAAGUGGUGGGGGUUGUGGCUCUCCUCACAUGGAAAGUGGGGCAACUUGUCAUAUAUGGGGCUAGUGGUGAAGUCACUCUCACUCUCAAUAUGGUGGCAAAAGUCACUCAAGUCAUCAUACGUCGCUGUGGUCGAAGGGAUAAUCCCAUGCUCAACCAUUUCGUCAUCGUCGCCGUGGAUGAAGGCCGAAGAUGGCACAUCAUCACUCUCGCCUCCUAAGAUGGAAGCAUCAUCCUUGCUCGCCACCUUGUUGCUCGCCUCCAAAGCUUGGUCCUUGAGGGUCUCCGUAGUCGUACUCAUCGCCGCACCAUCUUGAAAAAGAGUCGAAGUAGACUCGGCAUCAUCAAUGCCACAAAGAGGGAUGGCGGUGAAGUCGAACUUGGGAGCAUCGUCUUGGAGCUCGUCGGGCUUGGACAUCAUGGUGGUACUAUCCUCAUGCUUGUCAUAGAGCUUGGUCACCGCAAAGUGUGCUUGGGGUAGACAAGCCUUGUCCUUCAUGAGUUCUUGUUCUGCCUUGAGAGCACCAAUGUAGUAGUCAUCGAGGGACUUGUAGUUCUCGAGGAAGAUAGUCUUGGAGAUGUCGUUGUUCAAUCCCAUAAUGAAGUGGAACUUCAUCGAAAUGGGGUCAUCCAUGCCGGCUCGCCGCAAGGCAAUCUUCAUCUCCUUGAAGUACUUGUCGAUGGACUUGGAUCCUUGGAUGGUGUUCUCCAAUUGGCAUCGAAGUUGUUCCGUGUAGGUUGGAGGCACGAACUCUCCUUGCAAAGCUCUCUUCGUCUUGGGCCAACUCAUCUCGUAGCUCUCCAAAGGUGUGUGAAGCCACCAUGUCGAGGCGAAGUCGUGGAAGUUUCUUGUGGCGCACUUCACUUGAUCUUCAGGACGAACUUGAUGUAGCUUGAGGUAGUCGUCCAUCAAGCGCUCCCAUUCGAGAUACUCCUCAGGUUCUUGUGUUCCAUAGAAAGGAAUUGCAUGGUCGAUGUCGAGGUCGUAGUAGCUCGUGGAAGUCGUGGACUUGAGCUUGUGGAGCUUCUAUUGAGCGUAGUCUUGAGGUGCUUGUUGGUGAAGAUGUCGUAUGUCCGUAGGCAAAGAUGCCUUGAAGUCGCUUGGCGGAGAUGCCAAAGGAAAUGGUGAAAUCGUUGAGUGGUUGUUGAUGUAGAGCUCUUGACCUUCACGUUCUUGUUGGUGAUGGUGUCGAUGCCGAUGUGAUCUUGCCAGAGAUGGUAGCUUGGACGCAUGUGCUCUUGAGCAUCUUCUUGAAGAUGAGGAAGAUCGCAUGUAGAACUUGAUGAGGGGUUUGAUCUCCUCCAUUUGAGCUUGCAUCUUGGCGUCGGAUUUGUUUUUCGUGGCAUCGAACUCGUCGUUGUUGUUGUAGACCGAAGGUGAAAUGCCUUGCCUAUCCAUCACAAGACUCGAGUAGAGGUGAGUAGGAAAUGAGAUAAACAAUACCAAGUUACCUUUUCCCAAAGUUGAUGAUGUAUCCCGUUUCACUCAAUGUGAAAUGAAAGAAUAGUGGAAUUGGUACCGGACUUGUUCACUCACACCUAUCAAGUAAAGCUUAUGGUGUAGCUCGGUGAGGAUAGUGGCACAAAAAAUUUGAUGCAAAAUUUUAGCAAGAGUCAAUAAUGUUGAAAGAGAUUCACAAUUCGGAAACGAAACAAGUAGACCAAUAGCAAUAGAAUGGCACAUGGAAACACACACACGGAUAGAUAAAUGGGGUCGUGCAACCAAGGAAUGAGCACAAAAUGUGGAAUCCACGGAAAAUGCUCGUGUUGCACAACUCAAGAGAGACGCUAGCACGAUUGCUCUAUAGGCGGAUACGACACUUGUGCACAACCUAUGAUAUGCAAAAUGGAUAAAUUUUUAUCCCAAGUAUGCUAUGUAUGUAUGGUUCCCGGUGUUUGAUCCAAGAUGAUCGGAUAUGAUAUAUUGUGAUGCUAUGGCUAUUGCUUACAAGCUCUUUGCUCACUCUUUUUCUUUGCUUAAAAGCUUAUUCUUUUUUUGUAUGGCCACUUUGCACAAACCAAGAUAGCAAUUGUAUAUAUGCGGGAACAAAUUUGUGGCACAAGAGAUGAUAUGAUAGCAAGAUAAUACCAAUAUGAUAUGGUAUGUAUGCAAUGGAUGGUGUAGAUCAAUGAUCACUAAUGUGCACAAGUAACGUUCCCGGCAAUACUCAAAUGGCUAGUCUCGAUAGGCAAGUAACACAAAAUGGGCUAAGGGGGUAUCAAUGCAAUUGCGAGGGGAAUACACAAUGGUGUCGUCGAGGUUACCGUCCUUGGCGAUGAUGAGUGGCGGUGAUCUUGAUGUCGAGCCGUUACUAGUUAGCCGAAACACCCUAGGAAACAGAAAAACCGCGAACUUGAAAUCUCCAAAGGCAAAUGUCAAAUGGUGGUAGGGGAAAAAGCGGUGGUUGUUUGCACUUGGAAAUGCGGAAGUGGAAUGAUGGACUAUACAUGUGUCGUAGUUGAAGUUGCCGUCCCUAAGUAGCCUAAACACCUUAGGAGACACAAGCCACAACUCGAACAAGCUCAAACAAAAAUGGGUUAAGUUGGGGUGGUGGAAGUGUAUGGUGGGCAAGCUUAUGCGGAAAUUAUGGUGGUGGUUGAUGAAGAAGCAACCGUCCCUGAGUAGCCUAAACACCUUAGGAGACUCAAGUCACUACUCAAACAACCUCAAUUGCUAUGGGGAACAAAAUGGGUUAGGUUGCGGAAGUCGGUGGUGGCAAUGCGGAUGUUAUGGUGGAAGGCCUAGGCAAAGAUGCCAAAGUUCCAAAAUUUUGAUGGAGUCAAAUUGACGAGGACAUCAAUACCAUUGUUACACCCACAGCUCCUGCUGCUAUACAUACUGGACCAAUUACUAGAGCUCGCGCACGCCAAUUAAAUUACCAGGUACUUCCGUUUCUUGGUAAUGCUUCUAAUGUUCAUGAGAAUAUGAUGCUGCCUAAAUUGGAUACAUUUAUUUUGAUUACAAAUUAAGGGCCUAGCUUGGAGAAGGAUGAACAUUGGAGCAAGAAUAAGCAUGGAGAUGAUGGCAUGCGCAAGGGGAACAAGAACGGAGUUACAAGUGAUGAUUUCAGGACGUUGAAGCCACCAUAAUAAGUGCAUGAAGCCUUGGACGAAAUAUACAAGAUGCUACUUCAUAAAUUUCGUCCAGAGGCUAUUCUAAGUGUUGCAUCACCAUAUUAUUGGGCCAGGCCCAUGUAUUUUCGAAAUACUUUAGUAUAGGCUGUUUUUAGAGUCUGUAUGUGUGGGGAAACAAGUUGGUUUCGGACCCCUUCCCCAAGUGCCACGAAUUGCCCCCUCUUCCUCCAUAUAUACAGCCCUUAGGGCGUCGUUUAGACUUUGGGUUUUGUUUAGAUUAAAAGUUCGCCAUAGCUGCAAGUUCGCGUACUUCAUUUAUGUUCAACGACCAGACAAAGGCAUCACACAACCCCACCUUGAUCAAUAAAGCUUUCAUCUUAUAUUCGCAAUAUCCAGAUUGCAAUCUCAGUUUCUUGCUUGUUCUUCGUUUGCUCGCAGGAAACAGACCCUCGUGGUCAGGUUGAUUGUGCUCCAACGUGGUCAAUAACCUCUCGGAGUUGGUUUAGCGAUUGCUAAGGCGCGACGUCCUCGCACGUUCGUAGUCGGAUCGUCAAAGUCGACUUCCACCGAAGCGAUAUCCAUCAUCUCAUAGAAAGACGGGACACCUCUGCCUCUAUCAAGUGGUAUCAGAUUUCCAGGUUGCUCGGUGAGAUUUUACUGUUUUUUGUAGUUUAGAUCAAGUCUGUUCUUCAUACCUAUAGUCCAUGAAAAAGCCUAAAAAAAUUAGGGUUAGUUCAUCAUAUCCGAACCAGUCUGAGCCUUUGCAUAGUCUUUUCAGUAUUUUGCUUUGUUGAAUUUGCGGUUGCAUCGUCGCGUCAAGUUGCUGGUCUUAGCGUCUAGUCUUUUAGAGUAUCGAGUUCUGGUCAUAAGUUGUCACGCCGCCACCGCACCAUCAUCAUCGCCCCUGCCACCUACCACCACCGCUCCUAAUCCGUUUCCAUAUACUACCACCAAUCUGUAUCCAUAUACCACCACCGAUCCAUAUCCAUGUACUACCACCGCUACCACCACCGCUGCCAUAUACCACCGCCAUAUAUCCACCACCAAUCUGAGUUCCUUGCAUAUUAGGUUUGUUUUCGAGAUCCAUCUAAUUUCCGAUUCGUGUUUCCUUGCCUGAGUAGGUUUCGGAAAAAAAAGUCUGGAGACCCCCGGGCAGUUUUUAGGCCAAAAUUUCGACGACCGAAAAUAUUUUUUCCCUAUCCUAUUUUUAGUUCCCAGGGAGUGUUUUGAGACACUCGCCAUCAUAGUGAUUUUUUGUCGCACUUUUUCAUCGUCGCUGCCCUGAUUUCCAAAAAAAAUGUCAAAAAAAUUUCGUGCCCAUCCUGUCAGUUUGACCUGGGAAGAGUUUUGAGACACUCGUCAUUAUAGUGAUUUUUCGCAAAAAAAAAGAUCACAAAAAAAAGCAGAGCGAAAAAAAAUCCAGAGUGUGCUUCUCCCUUGUUUACGUGCAGCGCCGUGAUUUCGUUAGUGUUCUAGGCUCGCGUCUCUAGCACGGUCUAGCCUAGGACCAGCACAGUACCGUCGUUGAGUGUUUAUUCAACUUUGCAUCUCUGAAUUGAUUAUUGCUGAUCCUUUUUGCUACCAUAUUAUAAGCCUUCCCAGCUCCACAUACAUCUACGUCGUGUGUUUGACUCUCCCUGGUAAUCGCUCUAUCCAAGCUUUGAGAGUUUUGACUACAACGGUUGCCGAUCACCGCCUGCUGCUGGGUAAGAUCUGGCAAGAAUUUGAGUUUUGCUUGAUGGAUUUGUGACACCCACCACCACCACUUGUUAGUAGUCUGUAGGUUCAUAUUCUUGUGUGUUUCUAUUGCUGCUAACCAUGCCAGGAUCACAAGCUAACGAGAUUGACUGGGAGAACUUAACGAACAAGGAGCUUCAUGAUAAUUUUCAGCAAAUGAUGACCGAACAAGUGCAAGAUGUGAUGAACAAUUUUGAAGAGGCCAUGGAGAAGAUCACUGGCCUUGAGAAGACGUUCGAAACAAAGGUCGAUAAUAGAUUUAAUGAACUGCUUGCGCGUCUUCCACCGGCUGCACCUGCCGCACCUCUGCAACAACAACAACUACUACCUCCAUGUGAUGAAACAGCCCUCCGCCGAGCGAGCCGUGUCUUUCUUCAGCCCGACCAAACUGUUGGUGCUGCUAUUGAUACUUCUAUGGCUCCUGCUGCUGAUGCGGAGGAUGAUUAUGCGGGAGAUUACGUGGAUGAGGUUGAUCAAAAUCAGAACUACGUGCAACCACCAGCACCACAACCACCAGGUCGUCCAUAUGCAAAUAAUCACAAUGGUAGGGCUCUCCCUCAGGUAUGAGAUCAUGACCAUCUUCCUAAACUGAAACUAAAUAUUCCACAAUUUGAGGGUAGAUAUGUUCCUGAUAUAUAUCUUACUUGGGAGUUAGAAACUGAACAAUGAGGUACAUGUUUACAAUAUCCUGAGGAGAGAUGUGUUCCUGCUGCUGUUUGUGCUUUCAGUAGUUUUGCAUGUGUUUGGUGGUCUGAACAUUGUAGAUUAUAUCCUAUUCCAGCUACUUAGGCUACUUUGGAAACUGCUAUGCGUACUCGUUGGGUUCCACCAUAUUAUCCAUGUGAAUUGCUUCAAAAAUUGCAGCGUUUGAGACAAGGAAAAGAUUAUGUAGAAGAAUAUUAUCAGGAAUUACAAACUGGCAUGAUUAGAUGUGGUAUUGUUGAGGAGAAUGAACCUAUGCUUGCAAGUUUUAUGGGUGGAUUAAAUAGAGAGAUUCAGACCAUUCUAGAGUAUAAGGAGUGUACUAAUAUCACACGUUUAUUCCAUCUUGAUUGUAAAGCUGAACGUGAAGUGCAGGAUCGACAAGCAUUGGCGCGAACUAACUUUUCUGCAGGUCGACCCUCAUCAUGGACACCGCGUGCAUCUUCUGCUUCCACUGUACCAGCACCUCCAUUAGGUGCCACCUCCAGCCGUGAUACAAGAAAGCAGGCACAGCCACCACUAUCUGCCAAGAGCGCACCUACCGGGCCUACACAGAGCUCUUCUUCUUCCAUGGCAUCAACUGGGCACAGAAGUGAUAUUAUUUGUGAUGAUUGCUACUGAGGAUGGUGGGUAUGAGUCCGCUAGUGACUAUGAUGAGGAGACGUUGGUUCUUAUUACACGUGAAGAACACGGUGGAGAUGAUUCUGAUCAUGAGACGCAAUACAUGGCUCCUGAAGGCACUGAUAGGUAUGAAUGUUUAGUUGCUCAACGUGUUUUGAGUGUGCAGGUUACACUAGUUGAGCAAAAUCAGAGGCAUAAUUUGUUCCAUACAAAGGGAGUUGUGAAGGAACGUUCUGUGUGUGUCAUCAUAGACGGAGGGAGCUGCAACAACUUGGCUAGCAUGGAGAUGGUGGAGAAGCUCUCUCUCGCCACAAGACCACAUCUACAUCCUUACUACAUCCAAUGGUUCAACAACAGCGGCAAGGUUAAGGUAACACGUACUGUUCGUGUGCAUUUUAGUAUCUCUACAUAUGCUGAUUAUGUUGAUUGUGAUGUGGUACCUAUGCAAGCAUCUUCCUUAUUACUUGGUAGACCAUGGCAAAUUGAUAAAAAUUCUGUACACCACGGAAGAAAUAAUCAGUAUACUCCUGUUCAUAAGGAUAAAAAUAUUACUUUGCUUCCUAUGAGUCCUGAUUCCAUUUUGAGAGAUGAUAUUAAUAGAGCUAAUAAAGCAAAACAGGAGUAGAAUAAGAGUGAAAAUCAGAUUGUGGCAAAAGAAUUUGAGCAACAAAUGAAGCCUAAUAAUAAACCAUCUAGUGUUGCUUCUGAAAUUAAAUUGAAAAAUGCAUGUUUCUUUGCCACCAAAUCUGAUAUUGAUGAGCUAGAAUUCAGCAAAUCUGUUUGCUAUGCUUUUGUGUGCAAAGAGGCAUUAUUUUCAUUCGAGGCCGUGCCUUCCUCUUUGCCUCCUGCUGUCACUAAUGUUUUGCAGGAGUUCGCUGACAUCUUUCCACAAGACAUGCAACCGGGAUUACCGCCUAUUCAAGGGAUUGAGCAUCAGAUUGACUUAAUUCCUGGUGCUUCACUGCCAAAACUGCGCCAUACCGUACCAAUCCAGAGGAGAUGAAGGAGAUUUUGCGUCAAGUGCAAGAGCUUCUCGACAAAGGUUAUAUACGCGAAUCCCUUAGUCCUUGUGUUGUUCCUAUUAUUCUAGUGCCGAAAAAGGAUGGUACAUCGCGUAUGUGUGUUGAUUGUAGAGGCAUUAAUAAUAUUACUAUUCUUUAUCGUCAUCCUAUUCCUAGGCUAGAUGAUAUGCUUGAUGAAUUGAGUGGCUCUACAAUAUUCUCCAAAGUUGAUUUGCGUAGUGGAUACCAUCAAAUUCGUAUGAAAUUGGGGGAUGAAUUGAAAACAGCAUUUAAAACUAAGUUUGGAUUAUAUGACUGGUUAGUCAUGCCUUUUGGGUUAACUAAUGCACCUAGUACUUUCAUGAGAUUAAUGAACGAAGUUUUACGUGUUUUCAUUGGACGAUUUGUGGUAGUUUACUUUGAUCACAUAUUGAUUUAUUGAAGAUAUUUGGAGGAACAUUUGGAACAUUUAUGUGCUGUUUUUAUUGCUCUACGUGAUGUACGUUUGUUUGGUAACCUUGGGAAGUGCACCUUUUGCACCGACCGAGUGACUUUUCUUGGCUAUGUUGUUACUCCACAGGGAAUUGAAGUUGAUAAAGCCAAGAUUGAAGCUAUUGAGAGUUGGCCGCAGUCCAAAACGGUCACACAAGUGAGGAGUUUUCUUGGCGUCGCUGGAUUCUAUAAGCGUUUUGUGAGAGAUUUCAGCACCAUUGUUGCACCUCUCAAUGAGCUUACAAAGAAGGAUGUGCCUUUUGUUUUGGGUACCGCACAGGAAGAAGCCUUCACGGUGUUGAAAGAUAAGUUGACACAUGCUCCUUCACUCCAACUUCCUGAUUUUAAUAAGACAUUUGAGCUUGAAUGUGAUGCUAGUGGAAUUGGAUUAGGAGGUGUGUUAUUACAAGAUGGCAAACAUGUUGCAUAUUUUUCUGAAAAAUUUGAGUGGGCCUAGUCUGAAUUAUUCUACUUAUGAUAAAGAAUUAUAUGCUCUUGUUCGGACUUUAGAAACAUGGCAACAUUAUUUACGGCCAAAGAAUUUCUUAUACAUUCUGAUCAUGAAUCUUUGAAACAUAUUAAAAGUCAAGCUAAACUUAAUGGUAGACAUGCUAAAUGGGUUGAAUUCAUUGAGACUUUCCCUUAUGUCAUUAAACAUAAGAAGGGUAAAGAAAAUGUUAUUGCUGAUGCAUUGUCUUGUCGCUAUACUAUGCUUUCACAACUUGACUUCAAAAUAUUUGGUUUGGAGACCAUCAAAGAUAAAUAUGUGCAUGAUGCUAAUUUUAAAGAUGUAUUGUAGAAUUGUAAAGAAGGAAGAACAUGGAACAAGUUCAUCGUUAAUGAUGGAUUUGUGUUCCGUGCUAACAAGCUAUGCAUUCCAGCUAGCUCCGUUCGUCUUUUGUUGUUGCAGGAGGCGCAUGGAGGAGGACUAAUGGGACACUUUGGCGUGAAGAAGAUGGAGGACGUACUUGCUACACAUUUAUUUUGGCCAAAGAUGAGACGGGAUGUUGAGCACUUUGUUGCUCGCUGCACUACAUGUCAAAAAGCUAAGUCACGACUCAAUCCUCAUGGUUUAUAUAUGCCUUUGCCUGUACCUAGUGUUCCUUGAGAGGAUAUAUCUAUGGACUACUUUGUUUUAGGUUUACCUCGAACAAAGAAGGGGAGGGAUAGCAUAUUUGUUGUCGUGGAUAGAUUCUCGAAAAUGGCACACUUUAUACCAUGGCAUAAAAGCGAUGAUGCUGUUAAUGUGGCUGAUUUGUUCUUCCCUGAAAUUAUUCGCUUGCAUGGUAAUCCAAAUACUAUUGUUUCAUAUCGGGAUACUAAAUUUCUUAGCCACUUUUGGAGAUGUUUAUGGGCUAAGUUGGGGACUAAACUUCUUUUUAGUACUACUUGUCAUGCCCAAACUGAUGGACAAACUGAAGUAGUCAAUCGAACAUUGUCUACUAUGCUUAGGGCUGUUUUGAAGAAUAAUAAGAAAAUGUGGGAAGAAUGCUUGCCUCAUAUUGAAUUUGCUUAUAAUCGUUCAUUGCAUUCUACUACUAAGAUGUGCCCUUUUGAAAAUAUGUAUGGUUUCCUACCUCGUGCACCUAUUGAUUUGUUGCCUCUUCCAUCUUCGGACAAGGUUAAUUUUGAUGCUAAACAACGUGUUGAAUUGAUUUUAAAAAUGCAUGAGUUAACUAAGGAAAACAUUAAGCGUAUGAAUGCUAAAUAUAAACUUGCUAGAGAUAAAGGUAGAAAACAUGUUGUGUUUGCACCUGGAGAUCUUGUUUGGUUACAUUUGUGUAAGCAUAGAUUUCCUGAUUUGCGCAGAUCAAAGCUAAUGCCACGUGUUGAUGGUCCUUUUAAGGUGUUAGAGAAAAUAAAUGAUAAUGCAUAUAAACUUGAGCUGCCUGCAGAUUUUGGGGUUAGUCCCACUUUUAACAUUGCAGAUUUGAAGCCUUAUUUGGGUGAGGAAGAUGAGCUUCCGUCGAGGACGACUUCAUUUCAAGAGGGGGAGGAUGAUGAGGACAUCAAUACCAUUGUUACACCCACAGCCCCUGCUGCUAUACAUACUGGACCAAUUACUAGAGCUCGCGCACGCCAAAUAAAUUACCAGGUACUUUCGUUUCUUGGUAAUGAUUCUAAUGUUCAAGAGAAUAUGAUGCUGACUAAAUUGGAUACAUUUGUUUUGCUUACAAAUGAAGGGCCUAGCUUGGAGAAGGAUGAACAUUGGAGCAAGACCAAGCAUGGAGAUGAUGGCAUGCGCAAGGGGAACAGGAACGGAGUUACAAGUGAUGAUUUCAGGACAUUGAAGCCACCAUAAUGAGUGCAUGAAGCCUUGGACGAAAUAUACAAGAUGCUACUUCAUAACUUUCAUCCAGAGGCUAUUCUAGGUGUUGCGUCACCUUAUUAUUGGGCCAGGCCCGUGUAUUUUCGAAAUACUUGAGUAUAGGCUGUUUUUAGAGUCCGUAUGUGUGGGGAAACAAGAGAUAGGGUUGGUUUCGGACCCCUUCCCCAAGGGCCACAAAAUCCCCCCCCCCUCUUCCUCCAUAUAUACAGCCCUUAGGGCGUCGUUUAGACUUUGGGUUUUUUUAGAUUAAAAGUUCACCAUAGCUGCAACUUCGUGUACUUCAUUUGUGUUCAACGACCAGACAAAGGCGUCACAGAACCCCACCUUGAUCAAUAAAGCUUUCAUCUUAUAUUCGCAAUAUCCAAAUUGCAAUAUCAAUUUCUUGCUUGUUCUUUGUUUGCUCGCAGGAAACAGACCCUCGUGGUUAGGUUGAUUGUGCUCCAACGUGGUCAAUAACCUCUCGGAGUUGGUUUCGCGAUUGCUAAGGCGCGACGUCCUCGCACGUUCGUAGUCGGAUCGUCAAAGUCGACUUCCACCAAAGCGAUAUCCAUCAUCUUAUCAAAAGACGGGACACCUUUGCCUCUAUCACAAAUGGUGGUGAAACCAACGUGAGGACCUCGGGCACGUUGAUAGCUUCAAAACGAGCCAAAGAAUACUCAAAUUGGAGUUCGGAGCGAAAAGUUAUGAUGAAAACGGUGAAGAAGGCUGAUGCUGAAAUUUCGUGCAAUGUUUCUGGUUAGGCCGGAAGUUCCAGGGGGUGGCCGGAAGUUCCGGGGGUCGCAGAAAAAGUACAAGGGUCAGGGAGGAUUUUGGGGUAAACUCUCUUUUUAGCCCGGAUGUUCCGGGGGUAGGACGGAAGUUCCGGGGGACGGAAGUUUCGGGGGAGUCCGGAAAUUCCGGGGGUCAUGGAAUUUCGUCCGGGACGAACCCUAAAUUCCAGAUCUGAGAACGGGGGUGGAAAAACCCGAUUUCAAAGGUCAAAAUUUGGGAGAUUUCAUGGAUGGAAAUGGGGGAAAGCUAGAUACACUUGAAACCAAGCAAAUCCAUGGAUCAAAAUCAACAAAACAUCAUCCAAACCAACAAAUCACAAAAACAAUUGGGGCUAUUUUUGGUGGGGAUUUUCGAAUUUAGGAUUAAAUCAAGCAAAAGAAGGCUAGAAAAGGAUGGGAGGUACUCCAAAUCCGUGAUAAACCUAAGCUCUGAUUCCAUAUGAUACGGGGCUAACCCGGUGUAGGCCGAUCUUUCACGUUUGGAGUGGGAUCCCUCGAAGAACACGAUGAACACGGGGGAGAACAGAGAGAAAUCACAAGUGGAAGCACUCAAGAACAAGUCUAAUCAAACAUCCACUAGACAAUCAAACACACAAGAUCACAACGUACAUGAACAACAAAGGGAAAGAUACAAGGUAAGGUUCAUCUCCAAGACGAGGUCUUGAUGAUAUCCUAGAUGGAUCUUCCCACGAGGGUGUCUUGAUGAUAUCCCGCAGG